UCGGGCGGUUCGCAAACGGUUCCGAUUCCAGAUCCGGUUCCAAGCGGUUCGGGACCGAUUCGGUUCCGGGUAACCCGCCCCGUGGCCAACUGGCCAUGCCUACCCUUUAUUGAGUAAAAAAAAGUAUCUAUUCAAAAUCUAAUGAACAGUUGCCUUUUAUUUACUGCCACGUGGAAUUGGAAACCGCUAAGAUUGCUCCACGAAGCUGCUUUCAACUAUUCACUUCAUCAUCCUUUCACUCUUUCAGUUUCAACUUAACCUCCUCAUUAUUGUAUUCCAGUUCCACGAUAUGCUUCUGUUGAUUUUGAUCAAUUGCUUCCUUCAUAGAGGUGUCUCCCUCUUCUCUAAUCUUGAUCAAUUGCGCUUUUGAAUCUCGAUCCAUUCUUGAACAUUCAUAAGUUACUGGACAAAGCAAGAAGCAGAGCUCAAGAAAACGCUCUCACCAUUGAAUAUAAAGUCAAUGCUACCUCAAUGAUCUCAGCGCCUGAGAAGGAAUUAGAACAAGCUUGAACGCGUAUUGAGGGGUUGGAAACCGAAAGACGAUCCUCAAAGAAGAAGAUUGAGCACUUGAAGAAACUCGGUAUCCCGCUCUUGCAUCUGUUCUUCGUGCAAUUGAAGCCCUUUCUAUGAUGUAUGAUUAUUCGGAAGGAAUGUGUUCAAAUAAGGAAGUUCUUCAGAUGGCUAUGGAGCUAAUCAAAAUACCUGAAAAGCUGGAGGUGAACAUUGAAAUUUUCUGUAAAUGAUUGGAAACAAGUUCCCUGGAUGCUUUUACUAUUUGGCACUGAAUCUCUUAGAGGUAGAGAUCCUUCUAUAAAGGUUCAAUCAAGUGGAAAAUUUAGUUUAUUUGAAGUCUUGCAUUUUUGUGAAAAGUUAGUUGCAUUUGUCUUCAUUUUGGUUUGGUUUGGAUUAAACUUGAUGUUUAUUUGAAGUCUUGCAUUAUAGUUGAAGUCUUGUAUUUUUGUGAAAAAAGAAGCCCAGAUCGGGAAGCAAUUAGGGUAUAAUGCUCUCUUACCCUUUUGGAUUAUUGUGGGUUAUGUAGACGAUCGAUUUUGUAGUUCAUAAGUUUCAUUUUAAUUUAUAUUCAAGCGAAGAUGUUCCAUCAAAGAUGAAGACACUAGAAGGCUAUGUUCGUUGAUUUUAAUUUUCUGUUGGGUUUGUUAUUUUCUCUUUUAUUUGUGCUUUUGGGUCAGUCUUCUUGUUGUUGAUUGCAACCCUGUUAGGUUUUUAUCACUUGGAGUAUACUGGUUGAGAAAUGGAUUGGACUUGAUUGAAUUAUGUUGGCUAUAUAAUGAUAUGAGUUAAUAAAAAGUGAUGCAUAUAUCAUACCUAAGAGUAUAACUUCAGCAAAAUUUUGAACCAGGAGUAGCUGAAAUUAAGAAAAGAGGCGAGGUUUUGGUUUUUUGUUUAGGUCUUGGUUUUUUCGUUGAGGUUUUGUUUUUUCGUCCUAUUCUUUUAUUUAUUUGUUUAUCUGUCUUCAAUCGGGUUCUUGAUUAUGGAGUUUGUUGUUCUAUCUUUCUUCUUAAUCCUUCUGAUUUUUGAAGAAAUUGCUGUUCUAUCAUCACUUGAUCUUGUUUCAAAAAUUGGCAGAGUACUAGAAGAAAUUAAUUUGGCUUUAUUGUUCUUAAAUUUCUUGUUAAUUGCUCAUGCGUGCCAUUGGAAAUGCUACAAUUAACUUUUGUAUGUGAGAGCUUUUGGGGUCAAUUGUAGCAAUUUCUAUCAUCCGUCCAUCGGGGUUAUUAAUGAAGUUGAUUAUAUUUGGUUAAGAUUAUGAUACAUAGUAAGGAUCAGAGGUUGAUGUAGAGUUUAGUGAUUGUGUCUACAAAGAACUUAAGAGGAGUUUACUAUUUAACUAUAUUCUGUGAACACUCCAAUCUUAUAUUUCUUGCAAUAGAUAUAAACCUUGCUAAGGAUUAUAGUACUCCCCACUCGUGAAGUUGAUUCCGUUGUAGUUUUAUGGCUAUAAAAACCAGCAUUGAUUUAUCUAUCCAGUUGACUAUAUUCUUUUUCCUUAUCCUCGUCAAAUGCUUGGUUUUCAAAUGCUGUAAACUUGUAAUUAAAUUGGACUUUUAAAGCUUGUUUUUAAAAUGCUUUUGUGUUCUUUGUUGAUAUCCUGGGAGAACUGUUUAUUCAGCUCAUGUCACUUAGAAACUUUAGGUUAUUGGAAAAGUAGGUUGAUGGAAACUUUAGAACUUCUUAUACCUGGCUUCCGAGAAGAAACUUAUAAGGGAGAAGUUUAUGAGGAUACGAGGAUAUGGAGGCUAUGAUAGAAACUGAAGCAAAAUGUAGAAAAAAUCAUAGUGAAGAUCUUAGGGAGCUGAGGUUGGAUGCCCCAAGGACAACAUUGAGGUUGCUGAAUGUAGAGUUGGGGUGACUCUUGCUAGAAAGAACAUAAAACGUCUCAACUGUAUUAUAUGAACAUUGCAAUCUUAUAGGCCUUUUUUAAAUUGUGAUAUUUCUUUUGUUGCAGUAGAACAGAUAAAGCAUGCUAAGAUGAUAGUAACCCUUCACUCAUAAAGUUGAUCCUAUUUAGUUCAAGUAUGUCAUUACUACUUAAAACAGUCCUAUUCCAUUUUGAGCCUAACUUCUGAAUAUGUAUGCUGCAUUGAUCAAUUAAAGGGUAGUGGUUAUUUGCGGAAUUGCUUUGCUUUACUAGGGGCAUGAUUCAUUCGUAAAUGCAGCACUAUUUGUCUGCUAUUUGGUUUGCUUUAACUGGUGUUAUCUACUAUUUGUCUGCUACUAUUUGGUUUAUGAUGCUAAUGACAAGCCUUUUGUUGACUAAGCAAGUUUGAAGCGAAGGUGAUGUUAGAAAAGCUCAGAAACAUAGUGGUUAUUUUGGAGGCUUAAAUGGAAAAUUCAAUGGAUGUCCCUCAUGUAUAUGCUUUCCUCUACAGCUUGAGAAGCUUCAAUCUAGGAAACGAAGUCAUUUGUAUUCAUGUUUAUAGAUCAAAAUUGCACUGUCGAGUACUAUACAACUCAACUCUAAUUGGUGCAACUAGUAGGGUCGGCAAAAGCUGACCCGACCUGCUAACCUGAUCUGAAACCAACUCGAAAUUUGCGGGUUUGGGUUUACAUUUUUGACCCAAUUAAUUAAAUGGGUCAACCCAACCUGAUCUGUUUAUUAAAUGGGCUAGAUUCAGGUUGAAUAUUUAAACCCGAAAAAAAUCUGUUUAACCUAUUUAUUAAAUGGGUCAGUCAGGCAGGUCGACCCAUAUUAUCUGAUAUUAACCCAUUAAUAUUUAACCUAAAACUCAUUCUCACAUAAAAAAAUAUAUUAAAAGAUUUUGUUGGGCCCAAGUAUAUAACUCGUUCUCACAAAUAAACCCUAAAAAUUUGUUGAAGCCAACGUGCGGCGCUUCUUCAGAAGCUCUUCUUGGCUUCUUGAGUUCUUAUGUGUCUGUUUUCUCUGCCUUCUUCACUCUUUUUAGUUCUUACUACCAUCAAUUCCUGAAUGCCAAAAGCCAAGGUAAGAAUUAGUUCCUUUUCUCAUUCUUUUAUUUUUGUAGUUUGAUUUUUCUAAUUUUUUUUGUGUUCGAUUUUUUUAGCGUUCGAUUUUUUCGAUUGUUUUUGUGUUCGAUUUUACUGUUCAUUGCUCUUACUGCUAUUUUCAUUGUUCUUACUUCUUACUGCCAUCUUUAAUUCUUCAUAAUGAUUUUUAGUUUGUGUUUGUCUUUUUUUGUGUUCGAUUUGUUCGAUGAGCUUUGUGGGUUGGUAAUGAAGAUUAAAGUUGAAGAACAAGAAGACAUAUCUUGCCCUAGUCCAAGUUCAAGUUUAAGUUUCGAUCAACAUGAAUUCAGCUCAAAAUAACUACGGACAGGGUUGUUGACUUUUUUAACCGUUUUGCAGUUACUAACUGCGAACGCCAUCGAACAUAAUAACAGCUGCAGGUCUCUCCUUUCCCAUUUCCCCAAAUUCAAAACCUUAACUUAUUAAAACUCGACAUUUCCCUUUCAAAAACCACUCUUGGACUACCUUCAAUCCAUCAAUUCUUACAUUCCUUUUUCAAUUUGGCACUUCAAAUUUAGUCUAGGAUACUCUAGCUUACGCAAAGGCAAAGCACUUCCUGUCGAAGAAAGCAAAGGAACAGUUGAAGAAGUUGCAGAUGAGGUGUGUCUUGAAUGGCUAGUUCAACAAAAAUAGAGCUAUGUAGUAUUAAUUAGUACCUUAUACUCAACAAAGAACCAGUUGAAGGUUUUAUUGCACCUAGGGGUGUCAAACAAAUCGAGUUGGAUCAUUUUCAGG